rnacentral:rRNA from 1 species
GGAGGGUGCUAGCGUUGUUCGGAAUCACUGGGCGUAAAGAGCGUGUAGGCGGUCCGUUAAGUCUGAUGUGAAAACCCGGGGCUCACCCCCGGAAGUGCAUUGGAAACUGUCGAACUCGAGUCCCGGAGAGGAGGGUGGAAUUCCUGGUGUAGCGGUGAAAUGCGUAGAUAUCAGGAGGAACACCGGUGGCGAAGGCGGCCCUCUGGUCCGUGACUGACGCUGAGACGCGAAAGCGUGGGGAGCAAACAGGAUUAGAUACCCUGGUAGUCCACGCCGUAAACGAUGAGCACUAGGUGUCGCGGGUAUUGACCCCUUCGGUGCCGACGCUAACGCAUUAAGCGCUCCGCCUGGGGAAUACGGCCGCAAGGUUA